CCUACGGGUGGCAGCAGUGGGGAAUCUUCCACAAUGGGCGAAAGCCUGAUGGAGCAACGCCGCGUGUUUGAAUGAAGCCCUCGGGUUUUUAAAUACUUGCAGCCAGGGACGAGUAAGUAAUGCUAAUACUUUUGCGCAUUACGGUACCUGUCUGGAAAGCCCCGGCUAACGACGUGCCAGCAGCCGCGGGAAUACGUAGGGAGCAAGGCUUUUCCGGGAUUACUUGGCGUAAAGGGCGCGUAGGUGGGUGUUUAAGUCAGGUGUGAAAAUUCCGGGCGCAACCUGGGGACUGGACUGGAAACUGGGUGGCUUGAGGGCAGGAGAGGAGAGUAGAAUUCCAAGUGUAGCGGUGAAAUGCGUAGAUAGUAGGAGGAACACCGGUGGCGAAGGCGACUUUCUGGAC
rnacentral:rRNA from 1 species